GGAAGAGGACCUCCUUUUAUUGCUCCCAUCACCUCCCAAAAAGUGCUCCAUGCUGCUUAGGCUCCAAACUUACGAGGGCCCAGGUAGCACACAGAUUCCAUGGAGGGAAGGACCAAUGCUACUUCCAAUGUACCAGCCUUGGGCCCGCAGGGCACUGCUGGCCGGAUUCCGAGAAGCACAGACCAACGAAGAUGAGUCUUUUUUUUAAACUGUGCUUUAUUUAGGGCUAAGCUGGAGAAAGCGUCAUCCAAUAGUUACAGAAGGUUACAAGGAGUUUUAGGGAGUUGAGUGUGAAAAGAGCAGUUUUACCGAACUGCAGCUGUUUUUUUUUUUUUUUUUUUUUUACAACAUCUGGACAUCCUAAAAGGAGGAGCCAAGAGAAAGAAAAAGAAAAUUUUAAAAAUAAUAAUUAACCAACAAAAUAGACAGAAAGAAAGGAAAGGCAGAAGGCCUGAGAGGAACCAGAUAGUUGUUCUCCUAAAGCAAAAAAGGAAAAAAAUGGUAGGUCCGAGAGCCCCCUGGCCUCCCGAUGACCUGGACUAUGAGAGGAGGGUAUCAAGGCAGAAUGCCAAAGCAAGUCUUCCCAACGGUGCAAAUAAAUUAUAAUAAAUAUGUUAUACUUUAAAAUAUAUGUGUUCUUAAAUAAUUCAGUGUUUUUUCUGAUUCUGAGUUUUUUUAAGCAAUGUCUUUUUUAACUGCUCUAAAGUCAUUUACCAAAGAUAAAUAUCGUGCUUUCAUUAAAUAGUUUUCCUUGUUUUUUCUCUAUCAUUACAAUUAAAAGUCCUACAAAAUAUGCAAAUUUAUUUACAGAAAAACAGAGCCGGCAUCAUUUAAACAUCCCUGUUUUUCAAAAUUCCUUGUAAACAGUUUCAGAAAUUCUUCAAAGAUUGUUUAUUUUUCUCUCUCUUGUUUAAGGUUUUUGUGUGUGUGUGUGUUGUUUAGUCGUUUGAAGAUGAAAGUUCCCAGGUCUCCCUUGCCCGGAAAGUCUCUGGAGCAAGCAUGGAAGGCGAGUGAAGCGGAAGGUGUCGAGGGCUUGCGGAGAGCGGGCGAGCGCGCGCAGCUCCCGAGCGAAGCGAGGCGAGGGCGGCAGCGGCGGGCCUUCCUGCCGACGGCGCGGCCUCCACCGGCGGUGCGGAGCCAGGAGGCCCAGGUGUGGGCGAGUCCGGCCUGGCCCUCGGGGUCAACGGCGUCCGACAGCACUCGCAGGGAGAAGGGAUUGAUGCUCAGUCUAAACUCUACAAAAGUACAGUCCUACAACAUCUGGGAUUUUAGCAGUAACGCUAACUUCUAUAGGUUUUUUUUUUUUCCUUUUUUAUUUUUUUUAUUUUUUGCUUUCCUCUAAUUUUUCUUCUAUUAUAUAGGUAUUUUAAACUUCUCCUUUUUAAAAUUCUGUACAACUAUUAUGAUUUUAAGAGGGGGAAGAGUUAGAAGCAUUUACAGACCUUUCACAACAAUUAUCUUGCCUUGUAAGUCCCUUUUUUCCCCUCCUUGUUUUCUCACACUUCACAGUUAGUUUUAAUAUUUUUGUUGCUUUCCCCAAAUAUCCACCAAUUUGUUCAUCUUAACAGCUCCAUCAGACAUAUAAUACAGAAAACCAUAGGAAAGUGUCAUAGACUUGAAUGAGGGUAAUCAAAGCGCCUCUCAAAGUAUCAAAGAACUAUUAUCUUGCUGUUUUAAAAGCAUUGAAGCAUUAUUUUUCCUUUUUUUUGUUUUUGUUAUUUUGUGUUUUUUUUUUAAUUUUUUAAUUACAUUUUUCAUAGAAUCGCUCUAAGCUGUUUCAAGAACAGCCAUGAGGCAGGAAGGAGGGUCGACUCCAUUCCCCCUCUAUUUGACAUAGAGCUACACAUCUGCAAUAAAAAGUUUGGUCCUUUGGUCCCUAAAUAGCUAAAGGAAUGACAGAUAGAGAUGCUCAGUGGCAGCCUCCCAGCCGCCCCCUGGGGACCAGGCCCCACCACACCGCUUGCCCCAGCCUGCCUCAGGCGCCCGCGGGCUGGAAAAGCCCCGGGAUCGGUGAGCAGCGUCUCUUCCCAGGUCCCAGCCCUUCAGCCUCCCCAUCUGGUCUCAAGUUAUUUUGUUGUAAAGUUGCCUUUUUUGUGUUUUUUUUUCCUCAUUUUUCUUCAUCUUCUUCUUCUUUAUGUCAUAUUUAUAUUUUCCCCCAAACACAUGCCCUCUGAACUCCAUAGACGCUAUACUUUCCUUGAAGAAAUGUUACAGUCACAGAAAGUGUCUGGAGUCUUCAGCUUGAUUGAUAUUGGCUGAUAUGUCAAAGAUGUCAUCCAACAGUUCUCAUUUAUAAAUAUAUAUAGAGAGAGGUUUGUUUUUUAAUGUAGCCCGUUCAGCAUCCUGCCCUAAAAUGAAGAAAAUCAGGGCUGAUUAAGCCAAGAGAGGAACCACAAAAUGCAUCCAAACACCAAAAGGAACCUGCCUC
rnacentral:lncRNA from 1 species